rnacentral:lncRNA from 1 species
ACUGGUCGUGUGCUACGAUUGAAUGCAAUGUUUAUAUUACACCAUAACAUCAUAACAUCAUGUCUUAGUGGUAAGGAUUAAUGAUCUUUGAUGAUUUCCAGCAUGGAGCUACUGUUUUGCUCUACCAUCCCUGUGCACCGCACCACGAGCACCACCUCCUGUCCAGCUUGGUCCGCUCAUGUCUGUCAGAUUACAUCAUUACCCCACAUCCACAGCUCAAUAAACACAUGCCACUAGCUUUUGUGUCCUGGGGUCGCACUUUGGAGCUGUCCAACACAGCAACUUCAGACAUCUGUGAUUGGCUGAGAGAGACCACACAGACCAAAAGAAAUACAUCUGACAGUGUGAGUGCUAGAAGGAGAUACAACCUGCUGUUGACCCGACCUGCAGGGCUGCACACACAGGAACAAUCAACAACACUGAAGGAUUCUCUGAGGCAAUGCUGUGAGCAGACCAUCUCUACUCUGCUAAGUGCUACAGAGACUGAACUGGAGCCAAGCAUGAAGAUGGAACAUCUGAAACAAAUUACAGGCAGAGAAAAAAGCAGGCAGAUAAGAGCUGCAAUUAGAGGAAACCAGCAAAACCCACAGACAGCUGGCAGCAGCCAGGCUAACAGCCGAGACUGUGACAGCUGCAAAGCAGGUGAACACUGCGACUGCACCAAAGCCUCAGGACCAGAGGCCCGAUUUGUUGUUGUGAAUAACGGGUUGCUGAGGACACCCAGGACAGAUGAGGCGGCGUGGGCAGCAGCAGCACUGGGCUUCCUGCUGGUUCUCCUGACACUGUCAGUGCUUCACACGCGCCUGUACCGCUACUGGAGGACAUCACCUAGUCUUUAUUGGCACGAUCCACGGCAAGACUAUGACAGUGUUGCAGAUGUGAUCCGCAGGAGGUUGAAAAUUGCCAAUAGAAGGCGGAAAAGGGGUAGAAGACAGGAGUGUGCUCUCCUGCCAAGCUCCUCCAGCUCUGAUGAAUAUCCAUAG